rnacentral:lncRNA from 1 species
AGCGGAACGUCUAGAUGUAAGAGGAUUUAUAUAUGAUGCUCUCUCAUUUCUAAUGGCCUUGUUAUAUAUGAUGCUCUCUCAGAAUAUCAUAAUGGACCUGCAACUUUGACUUCAUCCAAUUCCACUCCGUCUUUCUGCAGUUUCUCUUUAAUUUAUUAGUUUCCUCAGUCAUCCAAGGGCCUCUCCUUUUUUCAACUUUACUGGAUCUAUGGCAUCAAUGUUUUCCCUUCAUUUACAAUGUUUUUAUUUAACUAACGUUGACUGGCAACAAGCUAGUAAAAAAAUCCCCAGUGGUGAUCAGAGAAAGCAACAUCAACAAUAGAGGAUAUGUCAAUAGAAAGCCCCUUGGUAAUAACCAGGUCCAGAGUAUGGCUGUGGUUAUCGGUGGGCCCAGUAGAAAGCCCCUUGGUAAUAACCAGGUCUAUAGUAUGGCUGUGGUUAUGGGUGGGCCCAGUAGAAAGCCCCUUGGUAAUAACCAGGUCCAGAGUAUGGCUGUGGUUAUGGGUGGGCCCAGUAGAAAGCCCCUUGGUAAUAACCAGGUCCAGAGUAUGGCUGUGGUUAUGGGUGGGUUCAGUAGAAAGCCCCUUGGUAAUAACCAGGUCUAUUUUAUGGCUGUGGUUAUGGGUGGGCCCAGUAGAAAGCCC